UCGGGAAUUUUGGGCAAUGGGCGAAAGCCUGACCCAGCAACGCCGCGUGAGGGAUGAAGUAUUUCGGUAUGUAAACCUCGAAAGAAUGGGAAGAAUAAAUGACGGUACCAUUUAUAAGCUCCGGCUAACUACGUGCCAGCAGCCGCGGUAAUACGUAGGGAGCAAGCGUUGUUCGGAUUUACUGGGCGUAAAGGGCGCGUAGGCGGCGCGGUAAGUCACUUGUGAAAUCUCUGAGCUUAACUCAGAACGGCCAAGUGAUACUGCUGUCCUAGAGUGCGGAAGAGGCAACCGGAAUUCUUGGUGUAGCGGUGAAAUGCGUAGAUAUCAAGAGGAACACCUGAGGCGAAGGCGGGUUGCUGGGCCGACACUGACGCUGAUGCGCGAAAGCCAGGGGAGCAAACG
rnacentral:rRNA from 1 species